AAAAUAUCUUACAUCUAUAGACUCCUUUCUGAGAAAGGAAGCUCCUCCUUUACUCCUUUGAAAAUAAUCUGGGAAAAGGACCUUGGUCUGACUAUCAGUGAUGAGUUAUGGGCGGAGGUUUGCGACAGGGUAUACUGCUCCUCUACCAGUGUAAAAAUGAAAGAAUCUAAUUACAAUUUUUUUUACUAAUUUUAUUAUACUCCUUUGAGACUCCAUAGAAUGAAAACAGAUAUGUCUCCUAACUGUAAAAUAUGUACCUCUGAAAGUGGAACCUAUAUGCAUGUAUUUUGGAGCUGUAGAGAGAUUGCCAGAUUCUGGCAAUCUGUACAUACUGCUGCACAGAAAAUACUAGAGGUACAGUUUGAUAUGACCCCGUGUAUCUAUCUUCUUAAUGCCCAGCAAGACUUUGUUCUUGAUCCUGACAGAGAAAAUUUGCUUAUGACUAUUACAUACUUUGCUAAGAAAUGUAUUCUUCUAUUGUGGGCCUCUAAUACCCCUCCUACAUUUAGAAUGUGAAUUGACCAGAUUGUUGACUUUCUUCCUCUUGAAAAGCUCACUUAUGACCUCCACAAGAGACAGCCCAAGUUUGAUAGACUCUGGUCUCCACUAUUCAACUAUAUUUCAAACUGGACAGAGUGAACGGGGUGACUAGGGAAAUGCGCAGAUACAUGUUGUGUAAGGUACUGUAAAACCUAAAAACGAAUUAUUGGCCCGUCGUCUCAGCGAAUGCUUGAAAUAGCUGAUAAGAACCUUGAUAGUGCUGCUGCAAGUGUUAUAUGUUUUUUUUGUGUGUUUUUAUUUUAAUUUAGUUUUUGAGUACGUGUGCGUAUGUGUGUGUGUGUGUGUGUGUGUGUAUAUAUGUGUGUAUGUAUGUACGUAUGUAUGUAUAUAUGUAUAUAUAUAUGCCCCAAGGAAAAUAAAUAGAUUAAGAAAAAUAAAUGCUUUUAUUUGACUUUAUCAUUCAUUUUAAUUGUAUUUUUAUUUUUUCAAAUGUAUUAUUUUUUUUAAACUUUUUCUUUUUUUAAAGCCUGUCACAUCUGUGAAUGUGGAAUGUGUUUUGUUGGUUGAUUGAAAAACAAGAAAAUGUAAUAAAAC
ensembl:lncRNA